GCCACCUGGGGCCUGAGCCUGCAUUUUCUGGGUUACUUCCACAUUUCAUUGUGCCUCUGCUUCUCCGCUGCACAGAGAGCUCUCAGAGCUCUCUCUUAGCUAUAUGUUUGGAAAAGUUGCUGUCUGAUAGCUGACAGGCAGAUGAGAAGGCAGAGCUGACACCAUGCUUGAGAGGAUAUUGCUGGUGUUAUCAGCAGCAUGAGCAGAAUCAAAGCCUUCUCAGUGAAAUGAAGUAACAACUUGCAAGGGGAAGAUGGGCAGAGAGAGAGGAAAUAAACUUAUAUAGAAGCA